rnacentral:rRNA from 1 species
CCUACGGGAGGCAGCAGUAGGGAAUCUUCCGCAAUGGACGAAAGUCUGACGGAGCAACGCCGCGUGAGUGACGAAGGCUUUCGGGUCGUAAAACUCUGUUGUUAGGGAAGAACAAGUGCUAGUUGAAUAAGCUGGCACCUUGACGGUACCUAACCAGAAAGCCACGGCUAACUACGUGCCAGCAGCCGCGGUAAUA